GAAAUGCGGCUGGAAAGAGCAGCUGAGACUGCAUGCGAAAAAGGUUGUCGAAGAGAAGGGUGUUGAGAACUUGACUGCAGAUGAGCUUGUGAAGAUGAUUACACCUAAAGCAAGAUCUCUAGUUCCAGAUGAUGUGAAGAGAGAUCUGUUGAGCAGCAUUCGUGAAUUCCUUGUUGCAAAAGACUGAACUUGCGUGUCUUGACCUCCACCAUAUUGUGUUUUAUUAUGCACUUCAUCUGAGGACAUAUCCAGCUUGCCUGUAGAGAGCAUUCUGAAACUUCCAUAUCUGUACAAAUUACUGCUUAUCCUUUAUAUAUUCCACCAAUACUCUAUUAUUCUUACUGUAGAAAUGUUACGUUCACCGAGCAGCUGUAUAGUGCUCGAAGCGUUUGAUCAUGCAAUCAAAGUCUGUGAUCUCGUCUUUGUACAUAAUGUAUAUACUUCGAAGCACAUGUAAUUGUGUAGUUUGUAAUUGUGUAGUGUUAACUUUUAACUGUGUAGUUUGUAAUUGUGUAUAUAUCUGAACUUGGACAUUUUAUCCUGUUUCUUA